rnacentral:sRNA from 1 species
GCCGCCCGCUCGCAGGUCCCGAGGAGCGCAGGUGAGGCGGCGCCCCACUCCCGGCGGCCCCCGGGCCUCCUUCCGCACGCGCCCCGAGCUGCCUCCGCACAGUUGGAGGAGCGUAGGAGGGACCCCCACCCAGGGAUGAGACUGCAGGAAGGGGACUGCGGAGGAAGCCAGACUGUGUCCCUGACAAUGGGAACAGCCGACAGUGAUGAGAUGGCCCCGGAGGCCCCACAGCGCACCCACAUCGAUGUGCACAUCCACCAGGAGUCUGCCCUGGCCAAGCUCCUGCUGACCUGCUGCUCUGCGCUGCGGCCCCGGGCCACCCAGGCCAGGGGCAGCAGCCGGCUGCUGGUGGCCUCAUGGGUGAGUGUGACGGCCUGCCUCGUGGGGCGGCGGGAGGGACUCCCCACCUCCGGCCGCAGCAGCACUCUCUGCCAGCCUCCCUCUGAACAGGACACCGAGCCAGUUAUGUCUUCUUACUUAGUGAUGUGAUUCUCUGGCCUUCUCAGUAAGAGCCUGGGGAGGGGAGGCUCUGGGCUGAAGGGGUGUGGAGGAGCCAUUGACCAUGCAGAGUCCCAAUCAGUGGAGCCCUGAGUCCAUCCUUUCCUCUGGGCCAAACUCAGGAUGGGCCGGCUCUCCUCUCCUUCCUUUCCCUUCUCUUUUCUCCUCCUCCUCCCUCUUCUUCUUUCUCUUCCUCCUCCUCUUCCUUCUCCUUUCUCUUCUCUUCUCUUCUUUCUUUCUCUCUCUCUACCUCUCCCUCUCUUUUUGGGGUUUUAGCAGUUAAUCCCUGCAGUGGCAGGUCCACCUAGGAGCCGGGAUCUUGGGUCCUUUGUCUUUCAGGUGAUGCAGAUCGUGCUGGGGAUCUUGAGUGCAGUCCUGGGAGGAUUUUUCUACAUCUGCGACUACACCCUCCUG